rnacentral:rRNA from 1 species
AGGUGGGCUGGUGGAGAACACCAAGGCGUUCGAGAGAACCCAGGUUAAGGAACUCGGCAAAUUGACACCGUAACUUCGGGAUAAGGUGUGCCAGAGGUAGGUGAAGGGCUUUCGCCUGGAGCCGAUUCUGGUUGCAACAAAGCGGCGGUAGCGACUGUUUACUAAAAACACAGGGCUCUGCGAAACCGUAAGGUGACGUAUAGGGCCUGACGCCUGCCCGGUGCCGGAAGGUUAAGGGGAGUUGUCAGCGCAAGCGAAGCGACGAACUGAAGCCCCGGUAAACGGCGGCCGUAACGAUAACGGUCCUAAGGUAGCGAAAUUCCUUGUCGGGUAAGUUCCGACCUGCACGAAGGCGUAACGACUUCCGCGCUGUCUCGACCUGGGACUCGGCGAAAUCGACAUGGGGGUGAAGAUGCCCUCUACCCGCGGCAAGACGGAAAGACCCUGUGAACCUUUACUGUAGCUUGGCAGUGGUAUUCGGUUCAUUCUGUGUAGGAUAGGUGGGAGCCUAUGAGUCGGGCACGCUAGUGUCCGAGGAGGCACCGUUGAAAUACCACCCUGGAUGUGCUGGAUACCUAACCCCUUCGGGGGGACGCUGCCUGGUAGGCAGUUUGACUGGGGCGGUCGCCUCCUAAAGAGUAACGGAGGCGUGCAAAGGUUCCCUCAGCCAGAUCGGAAACCUGGCGAAGAGUGUAAUCGUAUAAGGGAGCUUGGCUGCAAGACCGACAGGUCAAGCAGGUGCGAAAGCAGGCGAUAGUGAUCCGGUGGUUCCACGUGGACGGGCCAUCGCUCAUCGAAUAAAAGGUACUCCGGGGAUAACAGGCUUAUCGCGCCCAAGAGUUCAUAUCGACGGCGCGGUUUGGCACCUCGAUGUCGGCUCAUCGCAUCCUGGGGCUGGAGCAGGUCCCAAGGGUAUGGCUGUUCGCCAUUUAAAGCGGUACACGAGCUGGGUUUAGAACGUCGUGAGACAGUUCGGUCCCUAUCUGCCGUGGGCGUAGGAAGGUUGAGAGGAGCUGUCCUUAGUACGAGAGGACCGGGAUGGACGUACCUCUGGUGUUCCAGUUGUCGUGCCAACGGCAUUGCUGGGUAGCCACGUACGGUCGGAAUAACCGCUGAAAGCAUCUAAGUGGGAAAUCCUCCUCGAGAUGAGCCUUCCCUGAAGGACCCAGAAAGACUAUCUGGUUGAUAGGCCGGAGGUGCAGGCCCAGCAAUGGGUACAGCUUACCGGUACUAAUCGUCCGAUCGGCUUU